AACGAACGCUGGCGGCGUGGAUUAGGCAUGCAAGUCGAACGAGAAAAGUCUCUUCGGAGACUGAGUAGAGUGGCAAACGGGUGAGUAACGCGUGGGAAACCUACCUUUCGGAUGGGGAUAACACUUCUAACGAGGUGCUAAUACCGAAUACGAUCGGUCUGUCGCAUGGCGGACUGAUGAAAGGCGGCCUCUGUUUACAAGCUGUCGUCGAAAGAUGGUCCCGCGUCCCAUUAGCUUGUUGGUGGGGUAAUGGCCCACCAAGGCAUCGAUGGGUAGCCGGCCUUAGCGGGUGACCGGCCACACUGGGACUGAGAUACGGCCCAGACUCCUACGGGUGGCUG
rnacentral:rRNA from 1 species